GACAGAGGUGCCGAGCGUUAGGCGGAAUCACUGGGCUUAAAGCGUGUGUAGGCGGGCCGUUAAGUGUCUUGUGAAAUCCCCCGGCUCAACCGGGGAAUUGCUGGGCAUACUGGCGGUCUUGAGCGAUCUAGGGGCAGAUGGAACAAGUGGUGGAGCGGUGAAAUGCGUUGAUAUCUACAGGAACUCCGGUGGCGAAAGCGGCGUGCUGGACCUUUUCUGACGCUGAGGCGCGAAAGCUAGGGGAGCAAACGGG
rnacentral:rRNA from 1 species